rnacentral:tRNA from 1 species
GUAGGUAUGGUUCAGUGGUAGAGCACGUGCUCAGCAUGCACAAGGUCCUUGGUUCAAUCCCCAGUACCUCCA